GGUGGACAGUCUUUCUUGGGAGGAGUUUGCAAACGAGUUUGCAGGAUGGGCCUUCCCUGAUAGCUCAAGGGAACAGAAGAUGAUAGAGUUUGAGCAGCUGAGGCAAACGGAUGAAAUGAGUAUUGAUGAGUACACCAACAGGUUCUUGGAGCUGUUGCCUUUUGCUGGGCAGAAUCUGGAUACAGACCAGAAAAAGUCAAGGAGGUACAUCAUGAAGCUCCACUCCAGG
rnacentral:lncRNA from 1 species